AUGGGGAACAGGAGGAAACAGGAGGAAAAGCAUGUUGUUGACGCGGCGGCACCUCGGAGCGCCAGGGCUGCGGCCCCCGGGCAGGGCAGCGUGCGGCCCGUCCCUCCCCGAGCACGGCCCGCGAGCCCGGCGCAGCUGUCCCCGGCCAACGGGACCGAGGGGGAGGCACCGCAGUCUUCUCGGAAUUUAGGACGGGUACCUGCCUCUGGGGACACCGGGAACUUGCGUCUGCGUAACUGCCUGACUAGGAAGAGUGAAAACCCGCCCAUCUUCCGGCCUCUCAGGUCAGGAAUUCCGGGUAGGGCUGGGUCCAGCGGGGUCCUGCGGCCGCUGCACAGGUGGCAGCGGUGGCUGCAGGGAGCGCCAGGCCACACUGCCCUGGGGCGGGCCCAGCGGGCCCCAGCCAGGUCCUGGACCUGAGUGUCUCCAGGUCGCCUCUCGGCUCAGAGGAGGUCAUGGAGGUGGGCGCAGUACUUCCGUCCUUCGGGCACGUGUCAGGCUCUGGAAGCCACUAGGCCCUGGCCGGGGCUCCUGCCCUCCUGCUCAUGAGCUCUGGGGGGCCGGGCUGCCAAGGGCCCAGCAGUCGGUGCCCUGGAGACGCGUCCCUCCCUGUCUCUCUCCUGCGGUGACACGGGGUGGGGAGGUGAGCCUUCCGCCGACACAUUUGGGGGCGGGUGUCCCCCUUCUCUGCCCUCCCCGACGGCGUCGAGCUCCGGCACGGGCUGGGCCGGGUCGCAGGCCUGUUCCUGCCCGGCUGUGGGAAGGGGCCCGGGUCCUGGUCACACGACCGCACCCAGCAGCAAAGGAGUCGGAAGGAAGACCCCAGCCAGCGGCCACGCUUCACGGCAGCCUUGGUCCGGACAAGUAAGGGGGGACCCGAAAGGGGCCGUGGGACCCCAGAUUGCAGCCAUCUGCCGCAGCCCAAACCUCUGCCCGCGCGUGGAGGUGAUCCUAUCCCCCAAAGUCUUAGGAGAGUUCGGGCCCGGGGAUCCGGAAUCAGAGGCUCCAGUGAUGGAGGCAGAAGCGUGGCCAGGGCUCCACCUCCCACCAGCCGCCAGGCAGGCCGGCUCCGACGCCGACGCCGACUGGAGAAUUCAGGCACUAACGCGUUGGCGCUCUCAGUCUUAUUUCUGAUUUACCUCUUAGGUGGCUGAGAACGGAACCAGGCCCCGUUUCUGGGGAGCUCUGCCGGCCAAAAGGUGUUCCUGCCUAAGUGGGCAUUUCCCAAACAAUACACUGUUAGGGACUCACGGUCCAGACUCCCCCCUCCCCUCCUCUCCCUCCCCCACCCGUCCCCUCCCCGCCCCCCUCCUCCCCCUGCUCUAAUGGGUGGAUCUGACACCCCCACCUCCGGCCAGGCAGGGCAGCCGCGCUCUCCUUCCUAACGGGCGGGAGGUGUUCCUUCCCUGGAAGGAAAUGG
rnacentral:lncRNA from 12 species